UGUUAACCGUUUUGCGUGAGGGAUAGAAGUGAAAAGCCCACAGCCGUGAGGAACGAACAGGCGAGGACUUGUAGCGGAUAGCCCGACCCGGA
rnacentral:misc_RNA from 1 species